UCGUCACACUAUCAUUAACUGAAUCCAUAGGUUAAUGAGGCGAACCGGGGGAACUGAAACAUCUAAGUACCCCGAGGAAAAGAAAUCAACCGAGAUUCCCCCAGUAGCGGCGAGCGAACGGGGAGGAGCCCAGAGCCUGAAUCAGCAUGUGUGUUAGUGGAAGCGUCUGGAAAGGCGCGCGAUACAGGGUGACAGCCCCGUACACAAAAGCGCAUGUGCUGUGAGCUCGAUGAGUAGGGCGGGACACGUGGUAUCCUGUCUGAAUAUGGGGGGACCAUCCUCCAAGGCUAAAUACUCCUGACUGACCGAUAGUGAACCAGUACCGUGAGGGAAAGGCGAAAAGAACCCCGGCGAGGGGAGUGAAAAAGAACCUGAAACCGUGUACGUACAAGCAGUGGGAGCACCCUUUGGGGUGUGACUGCGUACCUUUUGUAUAAUGGGUCAGCGACUUAUAUUCUGUAGCAAGGUUAACCGAAUAGGGGAGCCGCAGGGAAACCGAGUCUUAAUUGGGCGUUAAGUUGCAGGGUAUAGACCCGAAACCCGGUGAUCUAGCCAUGGGCAGGUUGAAGGUUGGGUAACACUAAC
rnacentral:rRNA from 1 species